rnacentral:lncRNA from 1 species
AAAUAACCGGAUGAGAACUACAAUCGCGUUUCGCUUCAAUAAUUACAGAUAUUGCUUUUAUUGUUAAUUACUCGCCAUAAUUUUAAUUGUAUUUUUAAUUAUCUGAUGUAUCGAUGCAUCGAACAUGAAACGUUUUCAAGGAGGCUUCUAAAUUCGUAUCUACAAUAUUCUCAUUCAAUUAUGUAUGGAGAGCUAUUUGUAAGAAAGGUUAGAUCGAAAGAGGUUCGAUACAAUAUCCCUCGAGACAUGUAUCGAGUUUAACGAGCGUUUCUCAUCCGUUCUUUUCAGAAAUAUCGAUACCGCGCAAAGUCGAAUAUGCGUAUAUACAUCGAAGAAUCGAUCGAGAUAAACUAUCGCGAUAAACAUAAACGCAAUAUGGACGCGUCGCUUGAUUUCGGCUCUUUCACGUGGUUUUCUUUACGAACGUUAUAAAUUUUAUCCUCGCAAAGAAUUUGGAACAUGAGUAACGCACACUCAAGCUGGUCGGAAAUGAGUGUUGUGUAAAAAGUUUCGUUUUCUUGCGCUUGUGCAAGUCGUCCGCUUUCGAAAAAUCAAGAGAAAAGAAAGAAAAGGAUUCUAACCUAUUUCCAUUUGCUUUGACGAAACGUUGGGUGCGCGCAUACACGGUCACGUGGUUCGCUAAAUAAAAAUAAAGCAUCUUGAUUCGAUUACUUGUUUCGCCGAUAAUUCGUUUCAUAAUUCUUAGCAUAAAAAUCGUGCUAUAUUAUGUAAUCAUGCGAUAAUGGAUAAUCGAGAAACUAUCAAAAUAUCGAUAAAAGAAUGAUGAAAAUCUUGGAUUCAGUGGCUUUAAGCAUAACAAAAACGAUUUCGUAUUUAUCUACGUAUCUUUACGAAUAAUAAAUUCGAUUCGGUGAAUGCAAUUUUUAAGAUGGCGAACGAAACAAACCUUUCCAAUUGUAUCCUAAUAUAUGGGAGUAUAGUUACGGGAAAUUUCUUUCGGAAGAAUUGCAAUAUUGAAGUUUAUCGCAAGAUUUUCCAUAACGGAGAAACAUAACAGAGAUAGAAAAAGAGGUACGGAUGAAGAUAAAAGUGGAGAAAGUACGAGAAAAGGAAAAUUGCGGAAAAUCUUACUUCUAAGAUUUCGUGACCCCGAAGAAGUUAUCCUUGAAGGUAGCGAGGUGGAAGAACAAAAAAGUAAAGAUGUUCGAAGAAAUCUUUUGACGAGAGGAAUGAGAAUAAGUUUGGAAGAAGAAAAGAUUUAUUUUAAAAGAAGCAUACAUACGUUGAACAGAAUGAGGUGUCGAUGAUAUAAACUGUUACGCAAGUGUAAUUUUUAAAUUUCACCGUUAAAUUAUAUCGGUAAUUCAAUCUCGGUCUAUUUCGCAAUUAAACUGUUUUCGAUUUCGUUUUGCAUACCUCUUCCUUCUUUACCUUUUUCAACGCGAUAGACAGAAUAAAUGGCAAUCGCGUUCAUUGCAGCAGGCGAGGCAAAUGCUUUUUUGCUCUUUUCGUGCUUCCUCGACUCGAGGAAAUGGUGGAAAACAUUUACAGCUUCGAAAUGGAAAUAAAAAAAAAAAAAGAAAAGAAAAAAAAGGAAGAAAGAAAGACUAAUCGAGAAUCCAUCUCUCGAUCUGGAAAACCUUUGCUCAUUUCUUUCCCAUUCUCCUUUACUUUUUCUUCCCUUUCAUUGCACAGCUGAUUCCUCCUGUUUUAUUUAUCUUUUUCCUUCUACAUUUUCCUAGGUUAAGAAAAAACUAAGAAUUUUCGAUCGAAUUUUUUUCCUUCAUUCCUUAUGCGAAUAUUUAUUUAAAGAAACUUAUUUGAAUGAAAUUAAUCUAGAAAAUCGCCGAUAUUCGAAAAACUAAAAACUUUAAGCCAGUUCCUUCCGAAAAUGCAAGUUUCUAUUCACGAUACAAUAUCGUUGCAAAUACCUUGGCGAGUAUCUUGCUCGAGUUUUUUCGUUGACCUCUUUUCCAAGAUCUCGCCUCUUAAAAUCGUAUACUCGCGGGAAAAAAUGGCGAUUGCGUUUGCGUCGAACCAAACCUAACCUAACCAAAAAUACGUUUAUAGACUCCCGCACGAUCGAGGAGAGAAUUCCAUUUUCAGUCUGGAAUUUAAUUCAUCGUGGAAUUUACGGGUGGAUUUGUUGCGCGAGAAAGGAAGAGACUGAUCGAGAGGUGGUUGCUCUGCCUAAUUAAAGAAUUCGCUAUUGCCGCGAGAGGAGAAAAUCCAUCCACGAGAGGAAAAAAAAUUGAUAGUAUCCAAGAGACGUUUUAAGAAUCCAGAAUAAAUUGUCAGAGGAGAGCUUGGAUGGGAAGAAAAAGAGAGGAAGAGAGAAUGUAAAGCAGAAAAGAGGCGAACAAAAGGAGGCGGCAUUUGACUACGUCCUAUGUCCGAAUAUACGAAGUCUUGAACACGUGAAAAUGGCGUCUCCCCGCGUUUUCGAACAAUUUCUUCCAUCUUUCCCUGCCGAAUCGUGAACUCGCAACGCGCAGAAAGAACAAAUCUCGCGAGCGAAACUGUUGGAGAGGGGAGAAGAAGUACAUCCAUCUUAUCUGUCGAUUCGCUGUGCUAAAUGAAUUCGCAAGUGUAAACGUUAGAUAAAUUGGCGGGUCACGUUGCGGGAUCAGGAAAGGAAUCGCUGAACAGAAUAGGAGGAGGAGAACGGAGGGGGAUCGGGAGACGAGUACAGAUUUCAAUCCUUUCCUAUUUUCCCGAACGGAACGAAUUCCUCGAUUCAUCCUUGAAAAAUUAUUAUUGGACGAAUGAUGGAUCGAGAGAGUCGACUUCUUUCGAACGACCUAUAUGAAAUUGGAACGGAACUUUCUUCUUUGAGGGGUGAUGAAAUCAAGAAGAGGAGGGGUUCGUAGGACGAUCUAAAUAUUCUUCAGAAGAAUUACAGUCUCGAGUUAGAAACUUUUUUUCUUCGAGCUCAAUAGAACUGGAUGAUUAUGUUCUUUUUGAAGCUCGAACGAAAUUCUCUCCUUUCGAGCGCUCACAGAACGAUCCAAAUCCGAAUGGAAAAAUUUUUUUCGAGGAAUUAUGAUCUAAAGUUAGAAACUUUUUUCUUUGAGACGCUCAUAGAACGAAGAGUAUAAAGAUUUUCUUCCGUCAAAUAAAAAAUCGAAAGGAGGCGUUCAUAAAAUCAUCCAAAUAAUUGGGAGAAUUUUUUCGAAGAAUUAUGAUUUAAAGUUAGAAACUUUUUUUUUCAGGCAUUCAUAAAAGGAUCUAAAUGAUUAAAAGAUUGUAUUCUUUCGAAGAGUUAUGCUUCGAGACUGCGAGGAAAUUUUCAUUCGUGGGAUAAAAUCAAAAAGAAGCGUUCAUAAAAUGAUCCAAAUAAUUGGAAGAAUUCUUUCGAAGAAUUAUAAUUUAAAGUUAGAAACUUUUUUCUUUGAGACGCUCAUAGAACGAAGAGUAUAGAUAAAAAUUUUCUUCCGUCAAAUAAAAAAUCGAAAGGAGGCGUUCAUAAAAUCAUCCAAAUAAUUGGAAGAAUUUUUUCGAAGAAUUAUGAAUUAAAGUUAGAAACUUUUUUUUUCAGGCAUUCAUAAAAGGAUCUAAAUGAUUAAAAGAUUGUAUUCUUUCGAAGAACUAUGCUUCGAGAUUGCGAGGAAAUUUUCAUUCGUGGGAUAAAAUCAAAAAGAAGCGUUCAUAAAAUGAUCCAAAUAAUUGGAAGAAUUCUUUCGAAGAAUUAUAAUUUAAAGUUAGAAACUUUUUUUUUUCGAAGUGCUCAUAGAAUGAUCUAAUUAACUGGAAGACUAUGUUCUUUCGAAGAAUGAAGGGCAGAACGAAACUUUCUUCUUUGGAACGCUUGUAAGAACGAUCUAAACGAUUGGAAGAGUACGUUCUUUCGAAAAGCUAUAAGAACAUUUUCUUUCGUGCAAUAAAAUUAAAAAGAGUGCUCAUAAAACGAUUUAAAUGAUUGGAAGAUUAUAUUCUUUCGAAGAGCUAUAAAGAAAUUUUCUUCUGUGAAAUAAAAUUAAAAACAGGGGGUUCAUAAAACGAUCCAAAUAAUUAGAUUAUUAUGUUCUUUCGAAGAAUGAAGCUCAAACGAAAUUUUCUUCUUUUCAUAAAACGAUCCAAACGAUUGAAAAAGAAUUUUUUCGAGGAAUUAUAAUCCAAAGUUAGAAACUUUUUUCUUGGAAACGCUCAUAGAAUGAUCCAAAUAAUUGGAAGAAUUCUUUCGAAGAAUUAAAAGUCCAAAGUUAGAAACUUUUUUCUUUCAGGCGUUCAUAGAACGAUCUACAUUUUAUUAGAAGAGUAUGUUCUUUCGAAGAACGAAAGUAGAAAGAAAUUUGGAACGAUCUAAACGAUUGGAAGAGUACGUUCUUUCGAACAGCUACAAGAAAAUUUUCAUCCGUAAAAUAAAAAGCGUUCGUAAAAUAAUUGAAAUAAUAAAUUUCCAAGAAUAAUAAUCUAAAGUUGGAAACUGUUUUCUUCUUCUGCGGUAAUAAAAUGUGUGCUCCUUCCUUGGACAAAACGAAAAAAAAGCGAUUUAGAUAACGCGCGGCUAAUACGAUUACGUCGCAAUGGUCGAGACACGUGAGUUUAUUGGAAACCCAAAAUGGUAUGUCGUUCUGUCAAAGCCGUACGAAAUUCCCGCGGCAAAAAAACACGGCUAUUGCUCGAAUAUUUCGUGGCCGAACGCUAUGACGGGCGAAGAAAAUUUUCUCGCGAAUGCGGCCAAAUAUUUAGCGAUGGAUGCGCCUGGAGGAAAGAUGGCGCGAGAGAUGCGGGCUCGUGCUAUUUCCAAUUUAGAGUCGUCGCGCCCUCCUUCCUCCCGCAUAUUAACUUUGCCAACUUAAACGCGAAACUCUGAAUGCUCGAAACGCGUUCCACUCGAUCCGCGGUCUAAACGAUUUCGACGAGCCACGGUUCAAAGAUUCUGCUUUCGCCCCGUCGUGAUUAGAUUCCCGUGUAAAUAAUUAACACUCUGCAUCCGGUAAACGAUAAACUCGCUAUCUAUGGAUAGAAACGGCAAGAAAAAUCGUGGGUGUGAGACAGAGAAAUUCGGAUAGAAUUUCGCUUCGCGUUUUCUCGGCUUAUUUUUUUCGUUGCUAAGUAAAUUUUUUCGAGGCUCUUAUUCUUUUUUUUUUUUUCUUUUAUUUUAUUCUUCUAUUUCUAUUGUCGCUGUUGGACUUUGUUCUCACGAGAUCGGCGUUAUAACGGAAAAAAAAAAAAAAGAAAAGACUCGACCUUUGUCACUAAAUGACUAGAUAAUCCUAUUUGAUACUAUUAAAUAUGUUACACUUUGCGUAAUAAAUAUUGAUAAGAUCGAUAUCAUUAUCUAAUCCGCGUGCUAAUGUUAUACACGCGUUGAUGCCAACAACAGCGCGCGUAAUUGUAUAUUGAGAAUAAUCUAUUUCAGUGUCGUUCGCCAAUCUUUCUCCACGAAAUUCUAAAAUACCUAAAAAAAAAAAAAAAAAAAAAAAAAAUUACAAUUGAGCUUGAAUUCUUAUUGUAUCCAUUCUUUUAUUUCGAAUUUUUUACCUUCGUUUCUCGAAUUUUCACCCACACAGAUGUUUUUUAAUCGUUUCGAAGCAAUUCGCAACCGGAGACGUAAAUUUUAUAUCUCGAUAUCUCUAUCCUUCUAUUCUCGACUCGACCACACGACAUCCUUUUCACUUAUCCAACCUUCUCUCUCUCUCUCUCUCUCUCUCUCUUUCCUCCCACUUUGACGGACGUCGAUUAAUUCUUCGAUUUAACUGACAGGUGGAAAAAAACAAACAAAUUGAGAGGUAUGGAUAAAAUAAAAAAAAGAAGGGA